rnacentral:lncRNA from 1 species
CCCAUUCUAAAUAAACCAAGCAGAUUCCCAAGGGACCCUUGCAGACAAGUCAGCUCAGGGGAGGCGGCUGAGGCGGGGUGCGGGCUGCUAGUGGGGUGCAGCCCCAUAGCCGGGGCUGGCCCUGCCAGCGUGCCUUUCCUGGGAAGAGGUGGAAGUGCUGAGCUCUGCAGACUUGGAAGCAAGGGAAGGCCCAAGCUGCUGGAGAGGAGCCGGGCUACCCCAUGGGGAUAGCCCACGCUGAGCUAUUGCUUGGGCACCAACGCCAGCCUCAAGCGGGGCCAGCGCAGGAGGUCUGGGGAGCUGUCCUGCAGCGCUGACAUCUAUGAGGCAGCGUCAAGCAAAGGUGUAGGCCAAGGCAGAGAGGAGCGGAGGCGCCGCAGAUGGAACAUGCUGCUCCCUGAUGCCAGCCCCAAGCAAAGCCAGCGCAGGGUGCUGUGGGCGGAACCGCCCUGCAGCUAUAACCUCACGGAGGCAGAGGUGGCAGUAAAAAAAAAAAAAAAUCCCCACACCCCACUGCUGUGGAGCCUGCCCAGUCGGAUUUCGGAGCCCGCGAGGGCCAUGACCUGCAACACAUCAGUGACCAGGAGAUGCCCAAAAGUAAGGAGGCGACUGAUAGUGUUUGCCCUCAGAUUUUGCUUCUGACUGUCCAGGGGAAAGCACACUCUUCCUGAGAAAAUAUCAAAUGAGUGUGCAAGAAAAGAGGAGCAGCUCUCACCUAUAUUAUGU